rnacentral:misc_RNA from 1 species
GAGACAUUCUAUCAAAACACACACACACACACACACACAAAGACAUAUGUUUUUUACGUGGGAGUGCAUCAACAUUUCUGCUUUUUUGCCCUUUUACUGAUUUAUGAUGUGCUCCCCACUUCGUUCUUCUUCCUGCGAGUGUGGUGCAUGUAGGUGUGUGUGUGUGUAGGCCUACCAGCAAUGACUCUUAUUGGUUCCUUUUUCCCAGUGUGAGUUGCCUCCGGUAGUUUUGCGAAACGCUCAACGUUGAGCGCCAUCUUUCUUUUCCUUUUUCAUUAUUUGUUUAGUUGCUAGUCAUUUCUGCGUGUGGCAGUUGUCACUGACCGUGUCAUCACCCUCAUUCUGUUUGUCUCCGCUUUUCCCCGCCCUCCUUCUUGCCUUUUUAUGGCCCCUUUCGGUGAUGAUCCCCAGUUUAUCGUUCCCUCUGUUCCCCGACGCGUUCGCUUCGCGUUUGCUCAUAUGGACGGUCUGGCCUGUCUCUUAACUCCUCCACCCGCGCGAUCGGUGCGGAAUGGCUACUGGGGAAGAGAGGCCUAAGGAACAGCCGAAGAGGAGUGUGCGUGUGUGUGUCGCGGCGGACGGGUGCCACCGUGCCACACACACACAAACAUGCGAACACACACAUCCUCAGAUACACAUGCACCCGCACUGCCCAUCUCCUUCUUCCACGCUCAUACCCAUUCUUUCUACAGGAGAAUCAACAGACAAUACCGAAAGGUCUUGUGAUGCGGGCGCACAGGCAAUAAUACUAAAAAAAGAAGAGCAUGGCUGCCCCAGGCGCGCCAGGCAUGCAAGUACUGCCUCUUUACCAAGAAACGCGAUCCGGAGAAGCUGUGCAGGAGCUGUUCGAGAUGGCGCAGCAAUGUGUGAGCAAGCUGCAAUGCAUACAAGACGCGCACUCAUAGGCAGCAUGUAAGGUGGGGUGUGGAAGGGUGCGGAAGAAGCGAAGGUAUACCGCUGAGCUAAUGAAUGCAUUGAUGACUUCACUUGUGUGAGCUUAUUUUAG